UCACGGACAUCAGCAAAGGGUGAGGGGAAUAUCUUCUGAAAUUAAACAUAUCCCUUAAUUCUGUGAAAGGUCAAACUUUCCCUCACAGACCUCAUCUCCUUAACGCAAGUGGCUGUACGCAGGGUGCUGAGGAGACCUUGUCCCCUUGUCCCCUUUUCCCGACCCUGUUUUAAGAACACCGCGUAACCUUAUUUUGUGAAGGAAAAAACAACAACAACAAAAUUGUGAGGGUAAAUGAGCGAACGGAGGAUGUUUUUCUCACAGAAAGGGGAGGGGGAGGCAGACGGCCGCGCGGUACAGCGCCGCCCGCGGUACUGCAGGGCCCCGCCCGCUGCUCGCUUCACAAAAUGGCGCCCGGCGGGGCCGCGCCGAGCGGUACUGAGGCGACAAAAUGGCGGCGGGCGGAGAGCGCGGGAAGGGCCCGCGGCGCCCUGAGGGCCGCUCGUUCCCUUCCCGUCCCCCUCACCGUCCCAUUUUGAAGUGUUUUUUUCCCCUCACAGCGUGAAGAUUUUGGGGUCAACGCUGCUCUUUCCUCCCCCUCCACACGCGCCCUCCCAGGGAAAUGCAGGAUUGUUUGUGUAACUCCCACUCUACAGCAGAUAGCUUCUCUGUGAGUAUUGUAAACAUGCAGCAAGCUGGGCAGUGGGGACUGGCCUUGCUGAGGAGGGUAAGGCACAGUGCUCUGGCUGUGUGUGUGCUGUACACCGCCACAGAAAGCCACAAUGUUUCUGUGGUUACUUCUGGAGGGCAUGAGUGGGUCCCAG
rnacentral:lncRNA from 1 species